AGCCCCGUGGUGUAGUGGCCAAGCAUGCGGGCCUUUGGAGCCCGCGACCCCGGUUCGAAUCCGGGCGGGGCUA
rnacentral:tRNA from 3 species